rnacentral:other from 1 species
AAACGUCUGCCUUGUUCGAUCAAGCACAGCUAUUUUAAAUCCGAACAUUGAUUUAAAAGGGAAUCUUGCUCCGUGUGCGGGAUGCAGACCUCCCGGCCGCCGGUUUUCCGGCCGGCUGGACGAAGGGAGCGCGAAGCACAAGGGCGGAUACCCACCUGCUGAGAAGCGGGUUUAUUUCGCUGUGCGACGGCAAGGUGGAGUAAGA